rnacentral:lncRNA from 1 species
AGUGGGAGAGACCUCACUCUGUGCCACCCAAACACCCACAAAAGGGAUACAUCGCUCAUGGGAGUAAAUAAUCAGCCUGGGCCUGUCAGCAAAGCCCAGUCCUGCCUGCAUGUAUCACCAGCCAGGCGACCUCUGCAUGCUGUGAGCUCAGCGUCUGCUGGGAGACCACCAAGGUGCUCCUCUCUGGCACCACCUUCCACCCGCCAGGGAAGCCAACUGCAGACCUGUGGAUGAACCUGUCUCUUCAGAUCGAUACGGCUGGCAGGAAAGCGUCUGUCUGCCACGUCAGAGCAGUGAGACCCCAGAGGGUCAGAAGGCCCCAGCCCCUCCUCGGGGUCCUCACUCCCGGCUGAGCUGAGCAGGUGUCUGAGACGCGGGCUGGACCACACUUGAGCAUCCAGCCGUCAGCGCACCAAAUCAGAUCUGAUCGGGCCCGCGGAAGAUAAAUGAGCUGGAGUCCCCCAGCCCCAGAUUUGGUCAUCUCUUUAUGAGCUCUGAAGGGCCUAUUAGCAGCUCUGAUGAGUACUGGGGGAGAUGAAGUCGGCCUCGAACAACGUUAGCCGGCAGAAUCAAAUCACUCCCAGUCCCCUGGGGAGAAGAAGACGGGCUGGCUUUCAGACGCAGCGUCCUCGCCUCUCCAUCGCCCAGAAGGUUUAUAUGAACACUCCGUGGGGGGAAAAAAAGGUAAGCACUUUUUUUCUUCCAGUAGAAUCACCUAAGAAUUUCCUCAUAUAUCUAAUAGCUUCUCCUCAGGCAAUUUGAUGUCCCUGCUUAGACAGGUGUGCUCUUAUUUCCCCUCUCAGAGUCUCCACCUGGGAGGGGCUGUCACCAUGGAGAGAGGCCAGCCAAAGCCCAUCUCCCUCUCUGAGCCUUGCAACCCACUCUGUUCUCUAGAAACUGAGCCUGGCUUCAGGGCACUGAGGCCAUGUGGGGUGGGGGACACACUUCACAGGACAGCACUUGGUUGCUGGGAGACCGUGGGUCACUAACCCUCUCUAGCCACAGUUAACUCUUCUGUAAAAUGGGACAGCUGGUUCCAUCCCAGUGCUGCCACUGUGAGGACCAGAUGGAAUCAUGGAAUCCUGUGUAUACAGCUGAGAAGACAUGCAUUAAAAUCCCUCCCUCCAGCCCUUCAUACCCGGCAUAACUGCCUGGGCCUGAUCCAGGGGCAUCUAGAGGAGACAAAAAGCUAGACCAAGCAAGGGUUUCACCAAGAUGAAGGUAAUUAGAUCUAGGACAAGAUUUGAGAAUAAAGAAACCCCUUCAUGAAGACAGGCGGAGGCUAAUAAAUGCACACGUUGCCAUUACCCUACAUCUCGGGUCACAUGAUAGAGACCAAAGAGAGCAGGUAUGAAUCCUGACUUGCCAGCCGUGUGACCUUGGUCUGGUCACUUACCCUCUCUGCUCCUCCAUUUCUAGAUCUGUAGAAUAGGUACAAUAGUACUAUUCAGGUUGAAAGGUUGUUGCAAGAAAAGUAUAUGAAAGCCCUGACUGAGUAGCUGACACUCUUGUCAUGUCCCAUAAAUAUCAGUUACCUUCCCCUUUCUUUUCUUGGUUCCAUCUGUGGAAUGUGAGCUGUUUGCCCAGCUGCCUUGCCCCACACCCUUGCUUCUCACUGUGUGUCUGUCCCUUUACUUUGUUUUAUUCUUCACUCAGCUCUGGCAGGCUUCUUGAUCAGAAGCGCCUCCAGGCCCUAGUAUCCAGAUGUGCAUCUGUCAUAAACCUCCCCACACUAUGUGCUGUGAUUGGUGGUCUCUGACUUCCCUACCUCACGGCGAGCUCCCUGAGGUUGGGGACGGUCUCUACUGAUUACUUAAUGAUUAAUCAAGAGAUCUUACAUAUUUGCUUUUUAAAUCCAGAGACCACUAAGCACUGUACCCAAAUCUACAAGUGAGCUGAGGAUGAGACAGACAAGGAACCCACCCUCUUAAGACUUAAAUUCAAGGGAGUGGAGGGAGACAGACACCAAACCCCAAAUACAAGUAAACACUAAGAAAAUUAUUGUCUGUAAUAUAUCCUUCCAGGGUUGGAAACCAAAGGAUGGAGGUGAGAGAAUCGGAAGCAGGUGGCUUUUGGUGGGAAAAAACCUCCUUUCCAAGGAGGCUGCACUCAGUGAGGAUGUCACAUAAGACACAAAGGAUGACCUCUGAGGGUCUCCAGUGAUGACAUAAAAAAUGAAGAAGCACCUUCUUUGCUAAAAGCCAAGAGAAGAGAACUUUUCAGAGGGAGGGGAUGGGAUAUGCAAAGGUCCUGAGGCAGAGAAGGGCUUGGUAGCUCUUUGUGUAAAAGGAAGUUAUCAUACCCAGAGCAGAAUGAAUGAUCGGGAGACCAUGCGUGAUAAACCCCAGGAAGGAGGCAGGAAGCAGGUCACAGGGCUCAGCAGGACAAAGUAAGGUAUUGAGGUUAGAGGUUGGCAAACUCUGGCCCACAGGCCAAGACUGGCCUGCAGUCUGUUUUCAUAAAUCAGGUUGUGUUAGCACACAGCCCCACCCAUGUGUAUCUAUACAUGUCUACAAAUCAGCUAUGGUUGCUUUCAGGCCACAAGGACACAGCCAAGUUCUCACAAGACACUUCAUAGCCCACAAAGCCAGAAACAUACGCGAUCUGGCCCUUUACAGAAAAAGCUUGCCCACUUCUAGUUUAGCAGAUGAGAAAAGAAGCCAGUGUGAAGGGUUUUUAACUGAGGAGGGAUGUGAUCUGAUCAGACACUCAGAAGAGGGCCUAGCGCAGACUGGCUUCACCAACAUGCUUGUUGAAUGAAUGAGUGGAUGCUUAGAUGAAGAACGCCUCAUUAUCCACAACCAUAUAACAUGAUCCUCUCUGGAAGCACAAAUAACCAGGGGAUUACGGGACUGAGGGGCAGCCCCCCAUCCAUCCGGGAAGACUCCGUUUUUCACAGCACUAACAGCUGACGGAUACUUAGAAAUUGAAUGUUUUAUGCAGCUUCAGAUUGGAAAUAGCAGUGCGGUUUUCACCACAGGGAACCCUCUUAAUGUAAAUCCAACCCAAUUACACACACACAGGCAGGCACUGAAUUUGCAGCAAGACUGAGUCUUGCCUAGCAGCAAAUGAGGCACAGCUUGGGAAAGGGAAGGGAGGCCCUCUGGGGAGGGUGCAGGAUGCAGAAGACCUCCUCCCAGGGGGCCCACUGUCUGUGACUCAUGUGUGGAGGGUGCUGGGUGGCUUAGAGAGCCCCAAAGAAAAAGGCUAGAGUGGUUUAUGCAAACGCACGCCAAGCUGCACUCUGCAAUUGCAAAAUCAUGAAUAGGGGAAAUUGCUUGAAAAUCAUAACUAACUUUUGGCCUCCAAAGGCCAUUCCUCUGGCCAGUUACAGAUGAUGAAAGCCUUGGGGAAAGCUAGAGACUGGGGCCUUUUUUUUCUUCCACCAGUGGCAACGAGCUUUGUGAGUUAUGUGCAAGACUGGACGUGCCCAGUGAUGGGUGUUCUCAGGCCUGAGGUAGGCUGGACCCAGAAAUGGAUAAAUUAAACAUUCAUGAUAUGGUCCGGGUCCUUGUGAGGGUAAUGACUUUCCGAGCACUACAGGGUCCCCCAUGUAAUAUGGGUGGGAUAUGGGGUCCUUGCCACCAUCUGCUAGGGUUGGUAGCACCUGCCACUACCAGGGGUUCUCUUAAGAACUUGUAUUAGUUUGGUCUGCCAUAACAAACUACCACAAACCAGGUGGCUUAAAACAAUAGAAAUGUACUUGCUCACAGUUCUGGAGCCUAGAAAUCUAAAAUACAGUGCAGGCAGGGUCACACUUUCCCCCAAACUCUAAGGGAAGAUCUUCUUUCUCCCUUCCUAGCUUCUGGUGGUGGCUGGCAAUCCUUGGUGUGCCUUGUUUGUGGCUGCAUUAUUCUCAUCUCUCUGUCCACUGGCACAGGCUUUCUCCCUGUAGGUCUCUGUGUGGCAAUUUCCCUCUUUUUAUAAGGAUACCAAUCACUGGAGUAGGGACCAGCCUAAUCUAAUAUGACUUCAUCUGAACAUGAUUGUAUCUGCAAAGACUAUAUUUCCUAAUAAGGUCAUAUUCAGAUGGGUCCCAGUGGUUAGUAUUUGAACAUAUCUUGAGGAGAGCUGUAGGUCAAAGUCCUGUGGAAAGGUCCUAUGGGAAGAAGGACCCACCCGUGGCAUGGGUUAGGCAUUAUUCUCACUGGCUAGAGAGGGCAUUUAGAGAAAGUAGUCAUGUGCCCACUGGUGUGAAGGCUCUGGUGGUGGUAAUUUGAGUGUCAGGCAGACAAGCACAUGAAAGGCUGGACCUCCAACCCAACCGCUGGACACCCAAGUCACCCCAUUUCCAGAGGUCCUUUUCGCAGCUCUUUCUCCCAUUACGUCCGCAGACAGACACCUUACUCUGCCUUUUGCCAACCCUCUACUCUCCCUCUAGCCUAUCUACCUGGCACCCAUGGCAAAGGCUAAAUCUCUUCUUUUCUCUCUAUGGACUUUGGUGGCUCAUGAAGAACCAAGUGACACUCAGAACAUGAGCUGAAAUGGAUUCCUCUUCAUCAGAGGUGGAAAGGACACCAUCGUAUUUUUUUGUCAAUAAAAACAAUAAGAAACACUGAUUGAUUUACCUUCCUGGAGUGAAGAUAUUUUUCUUCCACCUUAGAAAAGGCAUCUUUCUGCCCAAGACAUGUCUGAUCAGCAAUUUCUGAUGCAUCAAAGAAAAAAAUAGAUGGAAGGUUGGAAGUUCUCACGCUCCCUCCAGUUUUGACAGGUGGUGUGGUCGGUACCUAAACUCUGAAAUGUCCAGAGAAGGUGCUCCUUGAAAGGCCUGUAGCCUAAUUUUAAACAGAAACUUCCACUCGAAUCUAAGCGCUCAGAAAAAGAAAAAUCCAUCUGCAACAGUGUAUCUCAAUCUGUAAUGUGACCACAGAUCACCUGGUGAUCUUGUGAGACUGCAGAUUCUGGCUCAGUAGAUCUGGGUUGGGGCCGGAGAGCCAGCUGUUCUCACAAGGCCCUUCACGAUGGAGGUGCUUGUCCCCUGACCAUACCUCAGGUAUCGAGGGGCUACGUGGCUCACCCUGAGCAUGUGUGUCCAAGCCAUGAGACAGCCAGUUGUCAAGGAAAUCAUCCUAGAAAAAUGAAAAUGACUCCCGGGUUCCCAUGAACACCUUCGAAGCCACCUUCAUCUUGAACAGCCAGUAGGGUUUGUAAAUGUGGUUAUGUUUUCCUAAAUUGGCACUCCUGCCAGACGAGUUU